CAGUAGCCACGGUAAUACAGAGGGUGCAAGCGUUAAUCGGAUUUACUGGGCGUAAAGCGUGCGUAGGUGGCUGUUUAAGUCGGAUGUGAAAGCCCUGGGCUUAACCUGGGAACUGCAUUCGAUACUGGAUAGCUAGAGAUCGGUAGAGGGCAGCGGAAUUCCGGGUGUAGCGGUGAAAUGCGUAGAUAUCCGGAGGAACACCGAUGGCGAGGGCAACUGCCUGGGCCUGAUCUGACACUGAGGCACGAAAGCGUGGGUAGCAAACAGGAUUAGAUACCCGCGUAGUCCCUGUCUCUUAUAC
rnacentral:rRNA from 1 species